GUAGACAUAGUUUAACCAAAACAUUAGAUUGUGAUUCUAAAAACAGAAGUUAGAACCUUCUUGUCCACC
rnacentral:tRNA from 1 species